UUUUCGAUCAAGAGAACAAGAGCACACGGUGGAUGCCUUGGCGCCAAGAGCCGAUGAAGGACGUGGGCGGCUGCGAUAAGCGCGGGGGAGGUGCUGACCAACCUUUGAUCCCGCUAAUGCGCGCGUGUUCCCAGCUGAAUACAUAGGCUGGGUAAUGGCAAGCCCGGGAACUGAAACAUCUUAGUACCGGGAGGAAAGGAAAGAAACCUCGACUCCCUGAGUAGUGGCGAGCGAAAAGGGAAGAGCCCAAACCAUUGCGAUGUCAAGACGGCAGUCGUUGUCGCAGUGGUGUUGUAGGGCCUGAUUUGAUCCGUCUGCCGGCGGGUCGGGAAGUUACAAAACCGUCUGUUAGCCGAAGUGGAUGGAAAGCCACACCACAGAGGGUAAUGGUCCUGUAGGCGAAAGCAUUCGGUCUUCCUUAUCAGGUUCCUGAGUACGGCCGGGCACGGGAAACCCGGUCGGAACCCGCGGGGACCACCCCGUAAGGCUAAGUACUCCUUGGCGACCGAUAGUGAACUAGUACCGUGAGGGAAAGGUGAAAAGUACCCCGGAAGGGGAGUGAAAUAGUACCUGAAACCGUGUGCUUACAAGCGGUCGGAGCAUUCUUCGGAAUGUGACGGCGUGCUUUUUGCAUAACGAGCCAGCGAGUUACUCUUCAACGGCAAGGUUAAGGAAACGGAGCCGUAGCGAAAGCGAGUCUGAAUAGGGCGUCUAGUCGUUGGAGGUAGACCCGAAACUGAGUGAUCUACCCAUGGGCAGGUUGAAGCGGGGGUAAGACCCCGUGAAGGACCGAACCGACCUAGGUUGAAAACUGGGCGGAUGACCUGUGGGUCGGAGUGAAAGGCUAAUCAAACUCAGAGAUAUCUGGUUCUCCCCGAAAUAUAUUUAGGUAUAGCGUCACGCGUUCAAUAACGGUUGUAGAGCACUGUUUGGGCUAGGGGGCCUACCAGCUUACUGAACUCAGGCAAACUCCGAAUGCCGUUAUUCCAGAGCGUGGCAGUCAGAGUGCGGGGGAUAAGCUUCGUGCUCGAAAGGGAAACAGCCCAGACCGUCGGCUAAGGUCCCUAAUUUCGUGCUAAGUGGGAAACGAUGUCCGAUUGCAAAGACAACCAGGAUGUUGGCUUAGAAGCAGCCACCAUUCAAAGAGUGCGUAACAGCUCACUGGUCAAGUGGUCGGGCGCGGACAAUGUAACGGGGCUCAAGCACGAAACCGAAGCCACGGACUCCUUCGGGAGUGGUAGGGGAGCGUUCCCAUGCCGGCGAAGCGGCGGCGGAAGCCAGCCGUGGAGGCAUGGGAAGUGAGAAUGCUGGCACGAGUAACGAAAGACGUGUGAGAAACACGUCCGCCGAAUGCCCAAGGGUUCCUGAGUAAAGCUAAUCUGCUCAGGGUUAGUCGGGACCUAAGCCGAGGCCGUCAGGCGUAGGCGAUGGACAACAGGUUGAUAUUCCUGUACCACGUAGCCACCGUUACCACCAAUGGCGGGACGGGGUAGGCUAAGGAAACCCUGGCGAUGGUCGACCAGGGGUAACCGCGUAGGGCGACCGGUAGGGAAAUCCGCCGGUCAUAAGCCUGAGACGGGAUGCCGAGUGCCUUAACGGCGCGAAGUUCCUGAAGCCAUGCCUCCAAGAAAAUCGUCUAGGGAGGUGGCGCGUGCCCGUACCUAAACCGACACAGGUGGGCAGGUAGAGAAUACCAAGGCGAUCGGAAGAACCCUCGUUAAGGAACUCGGCAAAAUGGUCCCGUAACUUCGGGAGAAGGGACGCCCCGGUAGAGUGAAGCCUUUACGGGCGGAGCUCGAGGGGGCCGCAGUGAAACGGCCCAAGCGACUGUUUACCAAAAACACAGGUCUCUGCGAAGUCGAAAGACGACGUAUAGGGGCUGACGCCUGCCCGGUGCCGGAAGGUCACGAGGAGAGGUUAGCUUUCGGGCGAAGCCUUGAAUCCAAGCCCCGGUAAACGGCGGCGGUAACUAUAACCGUCCUAAGGUGACAUGGCUGAAAAGGACAGUAGUAAGUCCUUCGAGGCAUUUCGUUGCCCCCCGCGCCAGUAAUGGCGCGGUGUGCAUCUGGCUAUAUGCUGGAAAACCCGGUGUAUCCCGCACUACUCGUGAUGUCCUGAGCGGCAUCUACAGUGACAAAGUGACGGGUGCGGAAAACCAGCAGGAAAGGCUGAGCGAGUUCCGUGGCUGGGUGAUCGGUUUUGUAGACGGAGAAGGAUGCUUCUCAAUCGCUUUUUCGCGGCAACCUGACCGCGAGCGGCGAAGAGGCUACACGACCGGCUAUCAGGUGCUACCGAGGUUCGCUGUGACGCAGGGGACGCAGAGCGUCGACUGCUUGGAGGACUUGAAGGACUUCUUCCAGGUUGGCCGGCUUGAGCGGAACCAGCGUCAUGACAACCACAAGGAACACCUAUCCCAGUUCGUCGUUGCAAGUCGUCGAGAGCUGACGGAGACGAUCAUUCCGUUCUUUCGGCGGCAUCCGCUCCGGACAGUCAAGCGAUACGACUUUCAGAAGUUUGCGUACUGCGUCGAACUGAUGGAAGACGAUCGACAUCUGACGCGGGCGGGGUUGCUAGAGAUCGUGGAGAUCUCGGAAACGAUGAACAGGCGCAAGCCCAGACACGAGCUCAUCAGAAUCCUCAGAGGCCAUACGCCAGACAUCCGGGACACCGGAUGAAGAGAUGGUCCCUUCUGCAUGGCGACAUGCAGUGAACGUCAUCCAAAGGAAGUGACGUUCAGUUCGGACAUGUCCGGAUAAGACAAAAGCGAAAUUCCUUGUCGGGUAAGUUCCGACCUGCACGAAUGGCGUAACGACUUGGGCGCUGUCUCAACGAGGGAUCCGGUGAAACUGUAGUCUCGGUGAAGAUGCCGAGUACCCGUGGUUGGACGGAAAGACCCCGUGAACCUUUACUACAGCUUUACGUUGGAGUCUGGGGUACGUUGUCCAGGAUAGGUGGGAGGCUGUGAAGCGGGAGCGCCAGCUCUCGUGGAGCCACCCUUGGGAUACCACCCUUCGUGUUCUGGGCUUCUAACCCGAGGCCGUUAUCCGGCUCGGGAACAGCGUGAGGUGGGUAGUUUGACUGGGGCGGUCGCCUCCUAAACUGUAACGGAGGCGCGCAAAGGUUCCCUCAGCACGGUUGGAAAUCGUGCGUAGAGCGCAAUGGCAUAAGGGAGCUUGACUGCGAGACAGACAUGUCGAGCAGGUGCGAAAGCAGGCCAUAGUGAUCCGGCGGUGAAGCGUGGAAUUGCCGUCGCUCAACGGAUAAAAGGUACUCCGGGGAUAACAGGCUUAUCCUUCCCAAGAGUCCACAUCGACGGAAGGGUUUGGCACCUCGAUGUCGGCUCGUCGCAUCCUGGGGCUGGAGCAGGUCCCAAGGGUCGGGCUGUUCGCCCGUUAAAGCGGCACGCGAGCUGGGUUCAGAACGUCGUGAGACAGUAAAACCUUGCUGUCUAUAAAUCUGGCUGUUUGCUGGAAACUCCGAGAAUCCCGCGCUACUCGUCGACUUCGUCGGCAGUGACAAUGCGUCGGGUGCGGACAAUCAGCAGGGAAGUCCUCUGGCGCCUAGCGUCAUGACCCCUCAGAGACUGCACGCCAGACAGGACCCGAAGGGUCCGGAAGAUACAGUCCGAGCUGCAUGGCGACAUGCAGAGCCAGGCAGAAAUGUCCUGGCCCCUGUGCCUCUGGCGCAGGAGUAACAAAACUGUCGGUCCCUAUCCACCAUGGGCGCUGGAAGCUUGAGAGGAGUCGCUCCUAGUACGAGAGGACCGGAGCGAACAGACCUCUGGUGUAUCAGUCGUCGUGCCAACGGCGCUGCUGAUUAGCCACGUCUGGUUGGGAUAACCGCUGAAAGCAUCUAAGCGGGAAGCCCACCUCGAGAUGAGGCUUCCCAUCCCCUCGAGGGAGUAAGAGCCGUGGGAGACCACCACGUUGAUAGGCGGGACGUGCAAGCACAGCAAUGUGUUCAGCGGACCCGUACUAAUUGCUCGAGGUCUUGAUUU
rnacentral:rRNA from 1 species